AUGGAGAAGAAGCUAAGUGUAUGGAAAGGGAGGAACAAAUCUUAUGGGGGGAGAUUGAUUUUAAUUACGUCUAGUUUAAGCAAUAUUAAUUUGUACAUGAUUUCUCUAUUUGAGCUACCCAAAGGCCCUAGUAAGAAGAUGAACUUUUUUAUGAAAAGAAUGCUAUGGCAAGAGGAGGAGGGGGUUAAAAAGUACCAUCUAGUGAAAUGGGAGGAUGUUUGCAGACCUAAAGAGAUGGGGGGUUUAGGCGUCUUAGAUCUUGAUAUUAUGAACAUCUGCUUACUGUGCAAAUGGAUCUGGAAACUUGAAAAUGGUAGUGGUGUGUGGCAAGAUUUAGUGAGAAAGAAAUACUUAAGUAGAUGUACCCUUAGAGAUAGUAAGAAAAAACCUGGUCAUUCUCAUUUCUGGCAGUGCCUAAUGAAGGUUAAACCAAUUUUCCUGCAAUAUUGUAGGAAGAUGGUGGGUAAUGGGGAGAGGACUAUGUUUUGGAGUGAUGUAUGGCUCGGAGACAAACCUCUUAGUGUGCAGUUCCCUAGGCCUUAUCCGCUGACCUUUAGUUCAGAUUUUACUGUCGCCAAAGCUUUAUCUGAUAAUAUGAGUUUGAUUAGAUUUAGAAGAGUUUUGUGGGGAGACAUGGGUGAUAUGUGGUAUGAACUCAAAAAUCUAUGCAGUAAAGUAGUUUUAAAUGAUCAAGAGGAUAGAUGUAGCUAG
rnacentral:rRNA from 1 species